rnacentral:rRNA from 1 species
GACGAACGCUGGCGGCGUGCCUAAUACAUGCAAGUAGAACGCACAGUUUAUACCGUAGCUUGCUACACCAUAGACUGUGAGUUGCGAACGGGUGAGUAACGCGUAGGUAACCUGCCUGGUAGCGGGGGAUAACUAUUGGAAACGAUAGUUAAUACCGCAUAAUAUUAAUUAUUGCAUGAUAAUUAAUUGAAAGGUGCAAUUGCACCACUACCAGAUGGACCUGCGUUGUAUUAGCUAGUAGGUGAGGUAACGGCUCACCUAGGCGACGAUACAUAGCCGACCUGAGAGGGUGAUCGGCCACACUGGGACUGAGACACGGCCCAGACUCCUACGGGAGGCAGCAGUAGGGAAUCUUCGGCAAUGGACGAAAGUCUGACCGAGCAACGCCGCGUGAGUGAAGAAGGUUGUCGGAUCGUAAAGCUCUGUUGUAAGAGAAGAACGGGUGUGAGAGUGGAAAGUUCACACUGUGACGGUAGCUUACCAGAAAGGGACGGCUAACUACGUG